rnacentral:rRNA from 1 species
GAUGAACGCUGGCGGCGUGCCUAAUACAUGCAAGUCGAGCGAACAGAUGAGGAGCUUGCUCCUCUGACGUUAGCGGCGGACGGGUGAGUAACACGUGGAUAACCUACCUAUAAGACUGGGAUAACUUCGGGAAACCGGAGCUAAUACCGGAUAAUAUAUUGAACCGCAUGGUUCAAUAGUGAAAGACGGUUUUGCUGUCACUUCUAGAUGGAUCCGCGCCGCAUUAGCUAGUUGGUAAGGUAACGGCUUACCAAGGCAACGAUGCGUAGCCGACCUGAGAGGGUGAUCGGCCACACGGGAACGGAGACACGGUCCAGACUCCUACGGGAGGCAGCAGUAGGGAAUCUUCCGCAAUGGGCGAAAGCCUGACGGAGCAACGCCGCGUGAGUGAUGAAGGUCUUCGGAUCGUAAAACUCGGUUAUUAGGGAAGAACAAAUGUGUAAGUAACUAUGCACGUCUUGACGGUACCUAAUCAGAAAGCCACGGCUAACUACGUG